rnacentral:rRNA from 1 species
AGAGUUUGAUCCUGGCUCAGGAUGAACGCUAGCUACAGGCUUAACACAUGCAAGUCGAGGGGCAGCAUAGUCUUAGCUUGCUAAGACUGAUGGCGACCGGCGCACGGGUGAGUAACACGUAUCCAACCUGCCGUCUACUCUUGGACAGCCUUCUGAAAGGAAGAUUAAUACAAGAUGGCAUCAUGAGUCCGCAUGUUCACAUGAUUAAAGGUAUUCCGGUAGACGAUGGGGAUGCGUUCCAUUAGAUAGUAGGCGGGGUAACGGCCCACCUAGUCUUCGAUGGAUAGGGGUUCUGAGAGGAAGGUCCCCCACAUUGGAACUGAGACACGGUCCAA